rnacentral:misc_RNA from 1 species
AACUUUCGGCAACGGAUCACUUGGCUCUCGCAUCGAUGAAGAACGCAGCGAAAUGCGAUAAGUAAUGUGAAUUGCAGAAUUCAGUGAAUCAUCCAAUCUUUGAACGCAUCUUGCGCUCCUUGGUAUUCCGAGGAGCAUGCCUGUUUGAGUGUCAUCAAAUUCUCAACUACAAUGAUUUCUUCAGUGUAGCUUGGAUUUGGGGGACUUUGGCAUCUAGAAGUCAGCUCCCCUGAAAUUGAUUAGCGGUACCUUUGUAGACCAUCUACAGGUGUGAUAAUUGUCUACACCUUAGUUGUCUGAAUGCUGCUUCCAACUUGAGUUUUGGAACUCGUGACAAUCUUGACCUCAAAUCAGGUAGGACUACCCGCUGAACUUAAGCAUAUCAAUAAGCGGAGGCU